rnacentral:rRNA from 2 species
AGCUAUAAGAAAUUAUUUUUAGUUAUACCUGCCCAAUGUAGAAUUAUUAAUGGCCGCGGUACCCUGACCGUGCUAAGGUAGCGUAAUAAGUUGGCUUUUAAAUGGAGUCAGGUAUGAAUGGAUAAACUGGGCUAAGCUGUCUCAUCUGUGUUUAAUUGAAUUUACUGUGCAAGUGAAAAAGCUUGUUUUUAAUAAGGGGACGAGAAGACCCUUAAAAUUUUAUUUAAAGUAAUAGUAUUGUUACUACGAUUUUGUUGGGGCGACAUAGAAAUAAUUAAAACUUUCUAUAAAUUUCAAGCCGGAUUUUUCAAGAAAGAAUAAAUUACUUAAGGGAUAACAGCAUAAUUCUAAAAUUGAGUUUGUGACCUCGAUGUUGGACUAGGAAGCUAGUAGGUUAGACGCUUACUGUGGGGAUUCUGUUCGAAUUUUAACUCCU